GGAGCGAAAGUAAUGGGGAGCGAUCGCGAUUAGAUACGCCCUGUAGUGUCUAGCUGUAAACGGAAGAUACUAGGUGUAGGAGGUAUCGACUCCUUAUGUGCACGUAGUUAACGCAUUACAGUAUGGAAUUCCAGGAGUACGGUCGCAAGGCAAAAACUCAAAUGAAUAGAGACAUGUCCGCACAAGCGGUGGAGCAUGUGGUUUAAUUUGACGCAACGGGAAGAACCUUACCGGGGCUCAACAUAUUUGGAUCAGCCUGGUAAACCAGGUUUUAUUCCGUCGGGAAGCAAGAAAGACAGGUGGAGCAUGGCUGUGGUCACCUUCCGUUUUCUCUUCCCCCAUUAAGUGGCACACAGAGCGCAACCCUUGUCCUUACACGCCAGGUUGCUUGCAAGGACAUUCUUACGAGACGCCAGUUGCUAAUACGGAGGAAGGUGGGGGAGUCGUCAAAUCAUCUCACCCCCAACGUGCGGGUCCACACUCUCACGCCCCUGGUCUGUAUAGACGGUGGUCAAGGAGCAAUCUGGAACCAAUCCCACAAAGCAGGCGUCAGUUCGGAAGGGCGGGAGCAAUUCGCGUCCAAGAGAAUCGAAUAGCUCAUAGUGUAGGAUCAGCAGUUUCCGGAGAAUA
rnacentral:rRNA from 1 species